rnacentral:rRNA from 1 species
GCCGAACGGCAAGAUUGAUAGCAAUAUUGAUCCUAGAGUGGCGUAAGGGUGCGUAACACGUAUGCAAUCUGCCCUCAACAGGAGGAUAGCUCCCCGAAAGGGGAAUUAAGACUCCAUAAUAUAAGAGACUGGCAUCAGUUUUUUAUUAAAGUACAAGCGGUUGAGGAUGAGCAUGCGCAUGAUUAGUUAGUUGGCGGGGUAACGGCCCACCAAGACGUUGAUCAUUAGGGGAACUGAGAGGUUGAUCCCCCACACUGGCACUGAGAUACGGGCCAGACUCCUACGGGAGGCAGCAGUAGGGAAUAUUGGACAAUGGGUGCAAGCCUGAUCCAGCCAUGCCGCGUGCAGGAAGACGGCCUUCUAGGUUGUAAACUGCUUUUGCCAGGGGAUAAAAAUUCCAUGCGUGGAAGAUUGAAGGUACCUGGUGAAUAAGCCACGGCUAACUACGUGCCAGCAGCCGCGGUAAUACGUAGGUGGCAAGCGUUGUCCGGAUUUAUUGGGUUUAAAGGGUGCGUAGGCGGUCCUGUAAGCCAGUUGUGAAAUACGGCAGCUUAACUGUCGAGGUGCAAUUGAUACUGCAGGACUUGAGUACUGAUGAGGUAGGCGGAAUGGACGGUGUAGCGGUGAAAUGCUUAGAGAUCGUCCAGAACACCGAUAGC